UUAGGAAUCUGCCUAUUAGUGGGGGACAACAUCUUCGAAAGGGAUGCUAAUACCGCAUACGUCCUACGGGAGAAAGCAGGGGAUCUUUAUGACCUUGCGCUAAUAGAUGAGCCUAAGUCGGAUUAGCUAGUUGGUGGGGUAAAGGCCUACCAAGGCGACGAUCUGUAGCGGGUCUGAGAGGAUGAUCCGCCACACUGGGACUGAGACACGGCCCAGACUCCUACGGGAGGCAGCAGUGGGGAAUAUUGGACAAUGGGGGGAACCCUGAUCCAGCCAUGCCGCGUGUGUGAAGAAGGCCUUAUGGUUGUAAAGCACUUUAAGCGAGGAGGAGGCUAUCUUAGUUAAUACCUAGGAAUAGUGGACGUUACUCGCAGAAUAAGCACCGGCUAACUCUGUGCCAGCAGCCGCGGUAAUACAGAGGGUGCAAGCGUUAAUCGGAUUUACUGGGCGUAAAGCGCGCGUAGGCGGCCAAUUAAGUCAAAUGUGAAAUCCCCGAGCUUAACUUGGGAAUUGCAUUCGAUACUGGUUGGCUAGAGUGUGGGAGAGGAUGGUAGAAUUCCAGGUGUAGCGGUGAAAUGCGUAGAGAUCUUGGAGGAAUACCGAUGGCGAAGGCAGCCAUCUGGCCUUAACACUGACGCUGAAGGUGCGAAAGC
rnacentral:rRNA from 1 species